rnacentral:rRNA from 1 species
CCUACGGGGGGCAGCAGUGGGGGAUAUUGCACAAUGGGGGAAACCCUGAUGCAGCGACGCCGCGUGGGUGAAGAAGCGCCUCGGCGCGUAAAGCCCUGUCAGCAGGGAAGAAAAUGACGGUACCUGAAGAAGAACCCCCGGCUAACUACGUGCCAGCAGCAGCGGUAAUACGCAGGGGGCCAGCGUGAUCCGGAUGUACUGGGUGUAAAGGGGGCGCAGGCGGCGAAGCAAGCCAGAAGUGAAAGCCCAGGGCGCAACCACAGGACUGCUCUUGUAACUGGGUGGCUAGAGUGCAGGAGGGGCAGGUGGAAUUCUGGGUGUAGGGGUGAAAUGCGUAGAGAUCAGGAGGAACACCGGUGGCGAAGGCGGCCUGCUGGAAUGCAACUGACGCUGAGGCGCGAAAGCGUGGGGAGCAAACAGGAUUAGAUACCCGAGUAGUC